rnacentral:misc_RNA from 1 species
AGAUGGCUCAACUGCAAAAAAAUCUUUAUCCUUUCAUAGGCCUGGAAAAUGCUACGCACCGAUUUAUUACACCACCAGUAGUUCAGAAGCAAAAUAACAGUCAUGAUUGUGGUUUUCAUAUGCUUCUGUACAUAAAGCGAUAUGAGGAUCAAAACUACCAUAACAUUAGUGAGGACGAAGUCAUCAUGUGCCGCAUAGAGACUGCGAUGUUGCUCCUUAACAAUGAAGACAACAAGUGCAGGGACAAAUUUACAGAGAGCCAUGCAAUAACGAAAGAGCAAAAGAAAGAAAAGGUGAGAGACAAAGUUGACGACAAGAAAGGAGAUAGAAAAGAUGAGAGUUCAGACGAUGAUUAUGAGGACAAGUCUGAGGAGGAGGAGGAGGAGGAGGAGGAGGGGACAGGUGAUAAUGAGGAGAAGGGGAACAACAAUGGGGGCAAGGAUAAGAAGAAGAAAUCAAAGACAAAGAAAAAGAAAACCAAUAUCAAGGACUCUUUGAAAGUUUCUGUAAGGAGUAAAAUGACAAAAGGCUACAAACCCUGCGAUUUCAAGAUAGCAGAUAAUUGGACCCAGAAUUUGGGUAAUAAAGAACUGCGACAGCAACUCUCGAGAAAGAUAGUUGACAAUAAAGAUUAUAAGAG